AUGCCAGCUGCUCAUGUUUCCGAUGGCGCUUUUGGUCACGGCAGCUGGAAAAACACCACCCAGGGCACCUAUCCAGCUGACAUACGUUCUGGACUGUCAAAAUGGACGGAAAAUGUAUUUCAACAAGCAUUUUCCACAUGGAGGAGAGCUGAGGGAAGACAUGGCACAGGGCUUCAAAGACAUCCCUCCUGUCCCUUUAAGAUGGUGCUGGCUACCUCGUCCAGCAACCCCUGCCAUCCACGCUCACCUCCAGAUCAGCUUCUGAUCACAACCAUCCACCUCCCAACUCCCAGCAUGCUCUGGUGCGAGAGGCUACCACCUUCACCGCCUGUCAGAUGCAGAAGAAGGCAUCAAGGCUCUUCAAGCAUCCGGACUGCAGUGCUGCUUUUCUCACAUCAUCACUGCUAAAGAACUGCCUCUUGGAGUUCCCUGGUGGCUCAGCAGGUUAAGGAUCCAGCAUUGCCACUUCUGUGGCACAGGUUCAAUCCCUGGGCUACGAACUUCCGCAUGCAGAGGCCAAAAAAAGGAGAGAAGAGAGAAAUGGCUCUAAAGCCACCAAAGAAGAAAAGAAACCUGGCUUACGGACUGUGAUGUCCAAUAAAUACAAUCUUAUGGUGUUGGGGUCACCAAAUGAAUCCAUUCCCCAAUACUAUUCAGUCAACCAACACUGGUGGGAGCCAGCGCCAUUUCAGAUCAUGAGCAACAACGAUGAGAAGACCCAACCCUCUGAUGGCUGCUCAAGGCAGCGAGGUUAAUGCAAACACCAAAAGACGGACGGGGCAGCCCAGCGGUCUGCGUCCUGAGCGCAGUUUAUGCGCAUCCGUUUAAGCAAGCCCGGGAUACCCUCCUCAAUUCACUAACCGGCAGUCCUCUGUAAUGAGACAGGGAGACCCGCAACGCACGGGACACACUGCCCCUGAUGCUCUCAGGGUGGAAAGAGUGGCUCAACUUAAACGGAGGUUAUACUUCUUUUUAAACCAGAAAACCAAAAGCUGCUGACCUCUUCUACAAUAAGAGAAUGACAAUUAAUGACUAUUUUUCCAACAAAUAAAUAAUUAAUCUGUCCCUUUCGGGUUAAGGUGACAAUUUUAAAAAUGGGUAAGAAAGCCUCUACUUUUUGAGAGACUUAUGUCACAGAAAGAGCAUUUCAAACACCAGCGUUGGGAAAUCAUUUUCACCAUAUGACAGGAUGACGUUACCCAAUUCAACAGGAAGAUGCAGUCUCGAAACCCUUCUACCUACGUACACACGGAAAGCCGCACAUCCAAGCUUGUUUUUAAAUCUCUCAGUGGAGUACAGGGCAGGGUUUCAGGGGUCUAAAAUCCAUUUAAAUGAUCAGCUGACCCCAGGAUAACAUCUUCCUAGAAAGGACUCUUUCAAAAUACAGUGACUUGGACCAGACCUUCCAACCACCAUGUUGCAAAAUAUGACACCAAGAUAUUCUGCAACCACAAAGUGUAUUCAACUGCAUGCUUCUUACUAAGAAUCAUCCUUAUUAAUGCAUUUCAUCUAAUUCCUCAACAUCUAUCCAUCUCUCUCUCCUACAUGCCAGGCACUGUUCCAUGCUCCGGAAAUAGGGCAGGGAACGAAACGGACAAAGCCCCGGCGGCGCUCACGGAGCUCACAUUCCAUCCAGUGGGGGGAGAUGGACAACACAGGAAGUGAGAGAGCUCUAGAGCAUGCGAAGUGCUGACAGGACGAAGACAGGGCAGGGAAGAGACGCAGGAAAUGCAACCAAGUGCGCAGGGGGGGUGGGGCACUGGGAAGGUAGCACUUGAGAGUCUGGUCAGGGCCAGCUGGGAAACGCAGUCCAAGCGGAGGGAACAGGAGGUGUGAAGACUCUGAUACAGGAACUGCCUAGUUUACUUGAGGAACAGCAAGGAAACCAGAGCAAAGUGGAAGAAGGGAAGGACACAGAGGCCCCCGGGGGCCACAGAAUCCACAGGCCUGCCGUUCAUUUCAACACGGCGGCCACCAGGCACACGAGGCCAUGGAGCCCAUGAAACGUGGCCGAUCCAAACUGGGCUGUGCUACGGGGGUGACUCACUACCAAAACCCCACGGAAUAUACGUCAGAAAUGAAGAUAAUUCUGACGUCCUGGGUUCAGGUAAUAAAAUUAAUUGCACGUAUUUCCUUUUCCCUUUAAAUUUAGCAGAAAAAUGUUGAACUGCAUACAUGGUACCCCUGUGUGACUCUUCGUGUUUCUACUGGACAGCGUUGAUAAGCUCCAGGGUCCUGGGGUCACUCCGAGGACCCCAGCUUUCAUGGAGAGUGGAAAGAAGCCGCAGCAGGGUUCUGAGCAUGGCAGGCAGGAAGUGACGUAUGUCUCAUGGGAUCCUCUGGCUACUGUGAGGACGAGAGCCUGUAAGGGGCACAGGAAUAGCAGGUGAAAGGUGAGGGUGCCUUGGACCAGGGUGACGGCCGUGGAAGCAGUUCUGCUGGUCAUACUCUACACAUAUUUUGCAGGUAGUCAACAAGCUUUGCUGAUGGACUGGGUGAAGGACAUAAGACAGAGAAGUGAAGCAUGGCCAUACGUGGUUUGGAUGAGCAAUGGGAAGACGGCACUCCCAUCACCAAGACGGGAGGCUGCGGGAAGAAGCUAUCUGUGAGGAAAAAUCAGGACUUCAGUUUGGGGCAUGAGAAGUAUGAAAUAUCUAUUAAUCCAGUUGAAACGUCAGGUAGGCUGAUGGACACACACAGGACUGUACUUCAGAUGAGAGGCUGGGCUUGAGACAGAUACCUGGGAGUCAUCAGUAUAUAGAUUUUUUUUUUUUUUUAGCUUUUCAUUAUGGAAAAUUUCAAACAUACACAAAACUAGAGAAAAUAGUACAAUACCCCACCCCCGGGUACCCAACACCCAGCUUCAACCAUUAUCAACUCAUGGUCAAUGUUUAUCUCUUGGGAUUACUCUGAAGCAAAUUCUACUUUUUUUUUUUUUUGUCUAUUUGCCUUUUCUAAGGUUCUCCCCUCGGCAUAUGGAGGUUCCCAGGCUAAGGGUCUAAUCAGAGCUGUAGCCGCCGGCCUACUCCAGAGCCAUAGCAACGGGGGAUCUGAGCCAUGUCUGCGACCUACACCACAGCUCACGGCAACACCGCAUCCUUAACCCACUGAGUGAGGCCAGGGAUCGAACCCGAAACCUCAUGGUUCCUAGUUGGAUUCGUUAACCACUGACCCACGACGGGAACUCCUGAAGCAACUUCUAGACGCAUCCACAGGGAUGGCAUUUAAGCCUGGAGCACGGAGAGGAUUGCAAAGAGAAAGAGAAGAUGCAGAGGCCGUCCAACUUCAGACGUCAGAGAGAUGAGACAAUGAGAAGGGAGAGGCCACGAGACGGGGGGGGGGGGACCAGAAAUACACACCCAGAGAAGGCAGCACUUCAAGGAAACGGGCAUAACCCGCUGUGCCAAAUACUGUGAAGCUGCUAUGAUGGGGACCCAGAAGAGGCCACAAGAUUGAGUCGCAAGGAAGUCACUGCUGCCCUUGUCGAGAGCACUUUCAUCUGGAGUGGCUGGAGACAAGCUGCAUGGAGGCACCUGAAAGAGGAAGUGAAGGGAGCAAGGACCGGAAAUGCACUGGGGCAGAGACAUGGGCAGUAGCUUUUCUUUUCUUUGACCUUUUAGGGCUGCAUCUGCGGCAUAUGGAGGUUCCCAGGCUAGGGGCCUAACUGGAGCUGUAGCCGCCGGCCUACACCACAGCCACAGCAACGUGGGAUCCAAGCCGCAUCUGCCACCUACACCACAGCUCACGGCAACGCCGGAUCCUUAACCCACUGAGCGAGGCCAGGGAUCGAACCCACAUCCUCAUGGAUCCUCGUCGUCAUUGGGCUCAUUACCACGGAGCCAUAAAGGGAACUCCAAAGAAGGCUUUUCUUAAGAUGAGAAGAACAGCAGCACGUGGACAUGAUCCAUAGAAAGAGAGAGAGAGGGCGGUGCGAGGGCAACAGCCCGAAUACAUCUCGGGGC
rnacentral:lncRNA from 9 species